UACGUAGGGUGCGAGCGUUAAUCGGAAUUACUGGGCGUAAAGCGUGCGCAGGCGGUUUUGCAAGCCGGGUGUGAAAUCCCCGGGCUUAACCUGGGAAUGGCAUUCGGGACUGCAAGGCUGGAGUGCGGCAGAGGAGACUGGAAUUCCCAGUGUAGCGGUGAAAUGCGUAGAUAUCAGGAGGAACACCGGUGGCGAAGGCGGGUCUCUGGGCCGAUACUGACGCUGAGGAGCGAAAGCGUGGGGAGCGAACAGG
rnacentral:rRNA from 1 species